UUAAAAAAUCUCUAUUUUAGUGCAAAUUUUGAGGCAAGCAACUUCAUGCGUAAAUAAACUGUAAAAAAACUAGAAUAUUGAAAAAUUAACAACUUCAUGUAACGCUUUACUUUACAAUAAUCUAAAAUGUCUUUAGUUUGUG